UGGGGAAUCCUGGUCAAUGGGCGAAAGCCUGAACCUGCGACGCCGCGUGAGUGAUGAAGGUCGUAAGAUCGUAAAACUCUUUUCAGGGAUCUUAAAGCCUGUCUGUCAACAACAGGCAGGUCUGACUCUCCCUGGAAGAAGCCCCAGCCAACUACGUGCCAGCAGCUGCGGUAAUACGUAGGGGGCGGGCGUUAUUCGGAAUUACUGGGUGUAAAGGGUAUGUAGGCGGCCCUUCAAGUCGCGUGUCAAAGUCCAGUGCUCAACGCUGGGUGUGCG
rnacentral:rRNA from 1 species